CAUAUUGUACCCGUACCGUAAACCGACACAGGUGGAUGAGGAGAGAAUCCUAAGGCCGGCGGAAGAAGUAUUGCCAAGGAACUCGGCAAAAUGGCCCCGUAACUUAGGGAGAAGGGGUGCCUGCGAGAGCAGGCCGCAGAGAAUAGGCUCAAGCAACUGUUUAGCAAAAACACAGGUCUAUGCGAAACCGAAAGGUGAGGUAUAUGGGCUGACGCCUGCCCGGUGCUGGAAGGUUAAGAGGAGAGGUUAGACGUAAGUCGAAGCUUUGAAUUUAAGCCCCAGUAAACGGCGGCCGUAACGAUAACGGUCCUAAGGUAGCGAAAUUCCUUGUCGGGUAAGUUCCGACCCGCACGAAAGGCGUAAUGAUUUGAGCGCUGUCUCGGCAAUACAUCCGGUGAAAUUGAAGUGCCAGUGAAGAUGCUGGCUACCCGCGCCAGGACGGAAAGACCCCAUGGAGCUUUACUCCAGUUUGGCACUGGGGUCCGGUGUUGCAAGUACAGGAUAGGUGGGAGGCUGAGAAACGGUAACGUCAGUUGCCGCGGAGCCGCUGUUGGGAUACCACCCUUGUGAUAUUGGGCUUCUAACCAGCCGCCGUAAACCGGCGGUGGGACAAUGCCAGGCGGGGAGUUUGACUGGGGCGGUCGCCUCCGAAAGGGUAUCGGAGGCGCCCAAAGGUUCCCUCAGAAUGGACGGAAACCAUUCGAAGAGUGCAAAGGCAGAAGGGAGCUUGACUGCGACACCGACGGGUGGAGCAGGUACGAAAGUAGGGCUUAGUGAUCCGGUGGUAUUAAGUGGGAAUGCCAUCGCUCAACGGAUAAAAGCUACCCUGGGAUAACAGGCUUAUCACUCCCAAGAGUUCACAUCGACGGAGUGGUUUGGCACCUCGAUGUUGCUCAUCGCAUCCUGGGGCUGUAGUAGGUCCCAAGGGUUGGGCUGUUCGCCCAUUAAAGCGGUACGCGAGCUGGGUUCAGAACGUCGUGAGACAGUUCGGUCCCUAUCCGGCGUGGGCGUAGGAUAUCUGAGAGGAGCUGUCCUUAGUACGAGAGGACCGGGAUGGACGGACCGCUGGUGGACCGGUUGGCUUGCCAAAGCCAUGGCCGGGUAGCCAAGUCCGGAAGGGAUAAACGCUGAAGGCAUCUAAGCGUGAAGCCCCCCUCAAGAUGAGAUAUCCCAUUCUUAUGAAGUAAACCCCCUUGAAGACGACGAGGUAGAUAGGGCAGAGGUGGAAGUGUGGUAACACAUGGAGCUGACUGUUACUAAUCGGGUGAGGGCUUGACCG
rnacentral:rRNA from 1 species